UUGUGCACAGAAUUUGAGAGAAAUAUGCUUUUUGUGCAUUUGGGAAAUGUCUGGGAUCUUCUAUUUCAGCCCAUGAAACAUAACACUACAUGUUGUGGUUAUUUUUGUUCAGUGUGUGUAUAUAAGGAUUUGUAUAGUGACUGUUUUUUUCUAAUGGGAGCUCAACUAUGUCCACAUGACAUGCAUUUGUGUUUAAAGCAAACUUUUUUUUUUUACCAACCCAUCUUUAUCUUUGCUUUGUAUUGCUGACUAUCUUGUUUUUUUCCUUCUCUUUAUACCAAAGUUCAUCAGUAAUGCUCUGGCAAUAUUUAAAAUGCUGCUUGUUUUCUUUGUUAUCAAAGUUUUUGUAUCUUGACUAGUUGUAUAUUCUGUAAAAAAAACUUUUGUUUCUUGAUAUGUAGCUAUCAUUAAAACGAUCACAAAUGUGAUCAUUCUGGCCAUAUGUGGUUUAAACUGUACUUUGUGGAAAUAGGCUUUGAAGAAGUAAGAAAAAAAAAGGUCAAUAGUCAAGCCAUCUGCAAUGAGUCCAUGCCAACGUUAAAAGGGUGGGUAGAACAGAACUGGGUGUAAGUGAGUCAAUUCCUAGACCUCACCAAAGGCAUCAUCAUGACAGUGCUGCUCACCACCCUCCACCAGUCAACUAAUUAUUAAAUACGAUGUCCAGGGUGGCAUCUCACUAACAAUUGUGAGAUGUGUGUUUGGUAUGUUUCAUCCAGAUAAAUGCUGAUAUGCAGAAGCAAGCACUUUGGAAUGUGACACACCGUAUAGGCUGCACUGCAGAGAGUAAGUUAAUAAAUAUCUGAGUGUGUCUGGA